rnacentral:tRNA from 1 species
GGGUCCUUAACUCAGCGGGAGAGUGCUACCUUGACAGGGUAGAAGUCGCGCGUUCAAAUCGCGCAGGACCCACCA